rnacentral:rRNA from 1 species
CGAGCGGAGAUAUAGUGCUUGCACUAUAUUUUAGCGGCGGACGGGUGAGUAAUACUUAGGAAUCUGCCUAUUAAUGGGGGACAACAUCUCGAAAGGGAUGCUAAUACCGCAUACGCCCUACGGGGGAAAGCAGGGGAUCACUUGUGACCUUGCGUUAAUAGAUGAGCCUAAGUCGGAUUAGCUAGUUGGUGGGGUAAAGGCCUACCAAGGCGACGAUCUGUAGCGGGUCUGAGAGGAUGAUCCGCCACACUGGGACUGAGACACGGCCCAGACUCCUACGGGAGGCAGCAGUGGGGAAUAUUGGACAAUGGGGGGAACCCUGAUCCAGCCAUGCCGCGUGUGUGAAGAAGGCCUUAUGGUUGUAAAGCACUUUAAGCGAGGAGGAGGAGCUCUAGGCUAAUAUCCUAGAUGCUUGGACGUUACUCGCAGAAUAAGCACCGGCUAACUCUGUGCCAGCAGCCGCGGUAAUACAGAGGGUGCGAGCGUUAAUCGGAUUUACUGGGCGUAAAGCGUACGUAGGCGGCUUUUUAAGUCGGAUGUGAAAUCCCUGAGCUUAACUUAAGAAUUGCAUUCGAUACUGGGAAGCUAGAGUAUGGGAGAGGAUGGUAGAAUUCCAGGUGUAGCGGUGAAAAUGCGUACAGAUCUGGAGGAAUACCGAUGGCGAAGGCAGCCAUCUGGCCUAAUACUGACGCUGAGGUACGAAAGCAUGGGGAGCAAACAGGAUUAGAUACCCUGGUAGUCCAUGCCGUAAACGAUGUCUACUAGCCGUUGGGGCCUUUGAGGCUUUAGUGGCGCAGCUAACGCGAUAAGUAGACCGCCUGGGGAGUACGGUCGCAAGACUAAAACUCAAAUGAAUUGACGGGGGCCCGCACAAGCGGUGGAGCAUGUGGUUUAAUUCGAUGCAACGCGAAGAACCUUACCUGGUCUUGACAUAGUAAGAACUUUCCAGAGAUGGAUUGGUGCCUUCGGGAACUUACAUACAGGUGCUGCAUGGCUGUCGUCAGCUCGUGUCGUGAGAUGUUGGGUUAAGUCCCGCAACGAGCGCAACCCUUUUCCUUAUUUGCCAGCACUUAGGGUGGGAACUUUAAGGAUACUGCCAGUGACAAACUGGAGGAAGGCGGGGACGACGUCAAGUCAUCAUGGCCCUUACGACCAGGGCUACACACGUGCUACAAUGGUCGGUACAAAGGGUUGCUACCUAGCGAUAGGAUGCUAAUCUCAAAAAGCCGAUCGUAGUCCGGAUUGGAGUCUGCAACUCGACUCCAUGAAGUCG